rnacentral:rRNA from 1 species
AUUGAACGCUGGCGGCAUGCCUUACACAUGCAAGUCGAACGGCAGCACGGGGGCAACCCUGGUGGCGAGUGGCGAACGGGUGAGUAAUACAUCGGAACGUGCCCAGUCGUGGGGGAUAACGUAGCGAAAGUUACGCUAAUACCGCAUACGAUCGCUGGAUGAAAGCGGGGGACCGCAAGGCCUCGCGCGAUUGGAGCGGCCGAUGGCAGAUUAGGUAGUUGGUGGGGUAAAAGCUUACCAAGCCUCCGAUCUGUAGCUGGUCUGAGAGGACGAUCAGCCACACUGGGACUGAGACACGGCCCAGACUCCUACGGGAGGCAGCAGUGGGGAAUUUUGGACAAUGGGCGCAAGCCUGAUCCAGCAAUGCCGCGUGCAGGACGAAGGCCUUCGGGUUGUAAACUGCUUUUGUACGGAGCGAAACGGCUUCCACUAAUACUGGGGGCUAAUGACGGUACCGUAAGAAUAAGCACCGGCUAACUACGUGCCAGCCGCCGCGGUAACAC